rnacentral:hammerhead_ribozyme from 1 species
AUCCAGCUGACGAGUCCCGAAUAGGAGGAAGUGAGCGUCCUCGAU